UUUACAACAGAGCUGUGAAAGCAAUCCAUGAAUUUUAAUUUGUGUGAUGGGCUCAUACAACAGCGGGACCUAAUGAGGAUGGUAAAUGGGACGCAGAGGGUGUAGUUGUCGCAGCAGCAGGAGGUAUGGCAGGCAAUAUUGAAAGGAAUCGAGCUCGCGAAGGACUUAUUGUACCUCCUCAAACUUAGUGUAGAAUCAGACUCAUCUAAUGUCAUUGCCGCUAUUAACGACUCACAACAGAAAUAUCUUACUUUAAAAUUUCCAUAUAUGCGAAUCAAGCUGCUCAUUUCUUAGUUAAAUUAUUUGCUUUUACAUCUUGUUCUGAAUUUGAUUGGGUUGAAGAAAUUCCUCCUUGUAUUUAUGCUAUCGUGCCUUUUGAUUUAUUUUCACCUUUUUUUUUUA